CAGUAGUAACGCUACUUACACGCUACACGCUACACGCGACGCGACGCGAAGACGAAGACUGAAGACGACGUGUUCUGUGCUCGCUCCUGCCUUGUGUUCCUUUUGCCUUGAUUGGGUACGUGUGAUCCGGGAACCUCCACGCAGAAGACGACUACGACAGCAUUGAAAGAGCAAGGUGGCCCGGAAGUGGAUGAAGGAUCUCCUGAGACUGCGGACAUCAGGGCUGACAUGUACCUUGCCAUUGACAGAAGAGAACGACCUCGUGAGGUCGUUCUGAACGACCUGGUGAACGACCGUGGUGAACGACCUCGUGAGGUCUGCUAAAGUUCCAUACCUAUUUCUCGAGGCAUCGCAGUGGGGGGACAGAACCUAUGAAGUCCUGUGCAGCUUCUUGCUUAUCUCGCGAGGAAAAAGGUGACGUUUUGCAGCGAACGUUAUUGUGCCCCGAGCGAUCUGCGCCAAUAUCUUCUGAAGCGCGCUGAAGAUGGGAAUAAUGUCGACGUACGACGACAUAACACCUGCUGGUAACACCACGCCUGCAUGGAAGCAGUGUCAUGAGUUUAAGGAAUUCAUUCAUUGCAGGAGCACACUCGAGUUUUAGCGUUAUACAAGAACAAUAUAUUGAUGUGUAAUUAUA